rfam:Anolis carolinensis chromosome 4, whole genome shotgun sequence.
UCUAGGGAGCUUUUAAGCUCCACCCAAAAACUAACACAAAUGGAGG